rnacentral:rRNA from 1 species
CCUACGGGUGGCAGCAGUGGGGAAUAUUGCACAAUGGGGGAAACCCUGAUGCAGCGACGCCGCGUGAGUGAAGAAGUAUCUCGGUAUGUAAAGCUCUAUCAGCAGGGAAGAAAAUGACGGUACCUAACUAAGAAGCUCCGGCUAACUCCGUGCCAGCAGCCGCGGUAUUACGUAGGGGGCAAGAGUUAUCCGGUUUUACUGGGUGUAAAGGUGGCGUAGACGGCGGUGCAAGUAAUGAGUGAAAGCCCAGGGCUUAACCAUGGUACUGCUCUGGAAACUGUGGAGCUUGAGGACGGGAGGGGCAGGCGGAAUUCCUGGUGUAGCGGUGAAAUGCGUAGAUAUUAGGAGGAACACCGGCGGCGAAGGCGGCAUGCUGGAUCGUAACUGACGUUGAGGUUCGAAAGCGUGGGGAGCAAACAGGAUUAGAUACCCGGGUAGUC